AGUGAACGCUGGCGGUAGGCCUAACACAUGCAAGUCGAACGGCAGCACAGUAAGAGCUUGCUCUUACGGGUGGCGAGUGGCGGACGGGUGAGGAAUACAUCGGACUCUACUUUUUCGUGGGGGAUAACGUAGGGAAACUUACGCUAAUACCGCAUCCGACCAACGGGUGAAAGCAGGGGAUCUUCGGACCUUGCGCGAUUGAAUGAGCCGAUGUCGGAUUAGCUAGUUGGCGGGGUAAAGGCCCACCAAGGCGACGAUCCGUAGCUGGUCUGAGAGGAUGAUCAGCCACACUGGAACUGAGACACGGUCCAGACUCCUACGGGAGGCAGCAGUGGGGAAUAUUGGACAAUGGGCGCAAGCCUGAUCCAGCCAUACCGCGUGGGUGAAGAAGGCCUUCGGGUUGUAAAGCCCUUUUGUUGGGAAAGAAAAGCAGCAGGUUAAUACCCCGCUGUUCUGACGGUACCCAAAGAAUAAGCACCGGCUAACUUCGUG
rnacentral:rRNA from 1 species